AAUCCCGUGAACCAUCGAGUUUUUGAACGCAAGUUGCGCCCGAAGCCUUCGGGCCGAGGGCACGCCUGCCUGGGCGUCACGCAUCGCGUUGCCCCCUCCACAGGGCGGAGAAUGGCCUCCCGUGCGCUCACGUCGCGCGGCCGGCCC
rnacentral:rRNA from 1 species